rnacentral:rRNA from 1 species
GUGAGUAACCUGCCCUUGACUUCGGGAUAACUCCGGGAAACCGGGGCUAAUACCGGAUAUGAGCCGCCUUCGCAUGGGGGUGGUUGGAAAGUUUUUCGGUCAGGGAUGGGCUCGCGGCCUAUCAGCUUGUUGGUGGGGUGAUGGCCUACCAAGGCGACGACGGGUAGCCGGCCUGAGAGGGCGACCGGCCACACUGGGACUGAGACACGGCCCAGACUCCUACGGGAGGCAGCAGUGGGGAAUAUUGCACAAUGGGCGAAAGCCUGAUGCAGCGACGCCGCGUGAGGGAUGAAGGCCUUCGGGUUGUAAACCUCUUUCAGCAGGGAAGAAGCGCAAGUGACGGUACCUGCAGAAGAAGCGCCGGCUAACUACGUGCCAGCAGCCGCGGUAAUACGUAGGGCGCAAGCGUUGUCCGGAAUUAUUGGGCGUAAAGAGCUCGUAGGCGGUUUGUCGCGUCUGGUGUGAAAACUCGAGGCUCAACCUCGAGCUUGCAUCGGGUACGGGCAGACUAGAGUGCGGUAGGGGAGACUGGAAUUCCUGGUGUAGCGGUGGAAUGCGCAGAUAUCAGGAGGAACACCGAUGGCGAAGGCAGGUCUCUGGGCCGCAACUGACGCUGAGGAGCGAAAGCAUGGGGAGCGAACAGGAUUAGAUACCCUGGUAGUCCAUGCCGUAAACGUUGGGCACUAGGUGUGGGGCUCAUUCCACGAGUUCCGUGCCGCAGCAAACGCAUUAAGUGCCCCGCCUGGGGA